AAGGAUCAUUAUCGAAUAAACUUGAACAGGCUGUUGCUGAUGUCUCCCAUCCAGGGGGACAUAUGUGCACGCUUGUCAUCUUUAUCAAUUUCUCCAACUGUGCACAAAUUGUAGACCUUGGGCUAGCUCUAUGAAUUUAUUUUCGAGUUGGGACUGCUGUGCUUUGUCUCAAAAAAGUCAGCUUUGCCUUUGCAUUUCCAGGUCUAUGUCAUUUUCACAACCUCUUGAUGUGUUUAGAAUGUGUUGGAUUAUAAAAGUUAAAUAUACAACUUUCAGCAACGGAUCUCUUGGCUCUC
rnacentral:misc_RNA from 1 species